UGAUUGGUGGCCGGACCGCGAGCUUUGAUUGGCUCACUUACCAGUGCCAUAUUUCAAAUGCCCAUCACACAUCCCUCACCGCAGCAGCGGCGCUGCUUUACGAGUCCAGAAUUCAGAGGAGAGGCGCUCGCUGUGCUCACCUCCUCUUUCAUCCGUCAUACAGGAGCAGCACCAGCGGCAGUAGAAGAAGCCAGCAGCGGCUAGCUGUCGUGGAGCCACAAAUCCAGCCUGCCCUACCGGUCAGAUUUUUCAAGGUUCCAGCUCCUGUCUCCAGACUUCUGCUAUAGAGACCCGCACCAGCAUUCCAUCUGCGGUGUAGCCUGACUCUCCGAUCCAUUCUGGACUCACCUGUUUCCAGCUACAACAUCACCUGCUUCCAGCUUAGCUUCCAGCAGUG